GACGAGGGAUCCUAGCGUUGCUCGGAAUCAUUGGGCGUAAAGCGGGUGUAGGUGGCUUGACAAGUCAGGUGUGAAAGCCCAGGGCUCAACCCUGGAAGUGCAUUUGAAACUGUCGAGCUUGAGUGCUAGAGAGGUUAUUAGAAUUCCUGGUGUAGCAGUGAAAUGCGUAGAUAUCAGGAGGAACACCGAUGGCGAAGGCGGCUAUCUGGCCCGUAAUUGACGCUGAGGCGCGAAAGCGUGGGGAGCAAACAGG
rnacentral:rRNA from 1 species